GGGUGAGUAACACGUGAGAAACCUGCCCUAGAGACCGGGACAACCGUUGGAAACGACGGCUAAUACCGGAUGCCUUCACAUGACCGCAUGGUCGAGUGAAGAAAUGCUCAGGCGCUCUAGGAGGGUCUCGCGGCCUAUCAGCUAGUUGGUGAGGUAACGGCUCACCAAGGCAUCGACGGGUAGCUGGUCUGAGAGGACGAUCAGCCACACUGGGACUGAGACACGGCCCAGACUCCUACGGGAGGCAGCAGUGGGGAAUAUUGCGCAAUGGGCGAAAGCCUGACGCAGCAACGCCGCGUGUGGGAUGACAGCUUUCGGGUUGUAAACCACUUUCAGUGACGACGAAAAUGACGGUAGUCACAGGAGAAGGUCCGGCCAACUACGUGCCAGCAGCCGCGGUAACACGUAGGGACCAAGCGUUGUCCGGAUUUAUUGGGCGUAAAGAGCUCGUAGGCGGUUUCGUAAGUCGGAUGUGAAAACUCAGGGCUCAACCCUGAGACGCCAUCUGAUACUGCGAUGACUAGAGUCCGGUAGGGGAGCAUGGAAUUCCUGGUGUAGCGGUGGAAUGCGCAGAUAUC
rnacentral:rRNA from 1 species